GAUGGAGAACGCAGCGAAAUGCGAUACGUAAUGUGAAUUGCAAAUUCAGUGAAUCAUCGAGUCUUUGAACGCACAUUGCGCCCCCUGGUAUUCCGGGGGGCAUGCCUGUCCGAGCGUCAUUGCUGCCCUCAAGCACGGCUUGUGUGUUGGGCCCCGUCCUCCGAUCCCGGGGGACGGGCCCGAAAGGCAGCGGCGGCACCGCGUCCGGUCCUCGAGCGUAUGGGGCUUUGUCACCCGCUCUGUAGGCCCGGCCGGCGCUUGCCGAUCAACCCAAAUUUUUAUCCAGGUUGACCUCGGAUCAGGUAGGGAUACCCGCUGAACUUAAGCAUAUCAAUAAGCGGAGGA
rnacentral:misc_RNA from 1 species